rnacentral:rRNA from 1 species
GAGUGAUCGAAAGAUGAAAAGCACUUUGAAAAGAGAGUUAAACAGCACGUGAAAUUGUUGAAAGGGAAGCGWUUGCGACCAGACUCGCCCGCGGGGUUCAGCCGGCACUCGUGCCGGUGUACWWCCCCGUGGGCGGGCCAGCGUCGGUUUGGGCGGCCGGUCAAAGGCCCWCGGAAUGUAUCACCWCUCGGGGUSWUCWUURUAGCCGAGGGUGCAAUGCGGCCWUGCCCGGACCGAGGAACGCGYUUCGG